GAAUUCGAUUAACGCGAAGAACCUUACCCAGGCUCGAACGGUGAUGGACAUCCGGCGAAAGCCGGCUCCCGCAAGGGCCGUCAUCGAGGUGCUGCAUGGCUGUCGUCAGCUCGUGUCGUGAGAUGUUGGGUUAAGUCCCGCAACGAGCGCAACCCUCGUUCCAUGUUGCCAGCGGGUUAUGCCGGGGACUCAUGGGAGACUGCCGGGGUCAACUCGGAGGAAGGUGGGGAUGACGUCAAGUCCUCAUGCCCCUUAUAUCUUGGGCUGCAAACAUGCUACAAUGGCCGGUACAGAGGGUUGCGAGCUAGCAAUAGUAAGCCAAUCCCAGAAAGCCGGCCUCAGUGCGGAUUGGAGGCUGCAACUCGCCUCCAUGAAGUCGGAGUCGCUAGUAAUCGCGAAUCAGCAACGUCGCGGUGAAUACGUUCCCGGGCCUUGUCACACCGAAUCACUA
rnacentral:rRNA from 1 species